AACGAGACUACCUUUUGAAAAACAGUACAAAGACCCAACACACUCUCAUUCCUUUAUUCGUGUCUUGGAAGCCCUCACUCUUCCAAACCUUCUCUUCCCUCUUUUCUUUCUUUCAUCCCCAAAUCAAAACCUAAAAUUCCCACCUUCAACUUUCUCCCCCAAAUCGACCACCCCCACCACUGCCAAGUCCCAUUAUUUUAUAUAUUUAUUCGUAUAUAUACAUACAAAGAGAGGGGGGAGAAUGGAUUCGGAUCAGGGAAAGCUUUUCAUCGGUGGGAUUUCAUGGGAUACGACGGAGGACAAGCUCAAGGAGCAUUUCGGAAACUAUGGCGACGUUUUGAGCACCUCCGUCAUGCGGGAGAAGAACACUGGGAAGCCUAGGGGCUUCGGUUUCGUCGUUUUUGCGGAUCCUAACAUUCUAGAUAGGGUUUUGGAAGACAAACAUGUCAUAGAUGGCAGAACGGUUGAUGCCAAAAAGGCCUUCUCAAGAGAGGAUCAACAAAUUUCUGUCACUUCAAGAGGUGGAAAUUCCAAUUCUGGCAUGAAUUCUGGAAAUGGAGGAAACAUCAGGACUAAAAAGAUAUUUGUUGGAGGGUUGCCUCCCACCCUGACUGAAGAAAAAUUUCGCCAGUACUUUGAGUCUUAUGGGAAUGUAACUGAUGUAGUAGUCAUGUAUGACCAGAAUACUGGACGGCCACGGGGAUUUGGGUUUAUUUCAUUUGAUACUGAGGAUGCGGUUGAUAGGGUUUUGCACAAAUCAUUUCAUGAUUUAAAUGGUAAACAAGUUGAGGUAAAGCGUGCACUUCCCAAGGAUGCCAAUCCUGGGGCAAGUGGUCGUAUGAUGGGUGGUGCUGGAGGUGGUGGGUAUCAAGGGUAUGGGGCAUCUGGUGGCAACCAAAAUGCAUAUGAUGGUCGUAUGGAUUCUAGUAGGUAUAUGCAGCCUCAAAGCGCUGCAGGUGGAUUCCCUCCUUAUGGUUCUUCUGCCUACAGUGCUCCUGGGUAUGGGUAUGGUCCAGCUAGUAAUGGCAUUGGUUAUGGUGCAUAUGGAAGUUAUGGUGGUGCCACUGCUGGGUAUGGUGGACCUGCUGCUGCAACAUAUGGGAAUCCUAAUGUCCCUAAUGCUGCUUAUGCUGGUGGUCCACCAGGUGGCCCAAGGAGUACAUGGCCUGCUCAGGCUCCUUCUGGUUAUGGAUCUAUGGGCUAUGGGAACACUGCUGCUUGGGGUGCUCCAAGUGGUGGUGCUGGCUCUGGUGGCGGUGGUCCUGGUUCAGCAACUGCAGGUCAAUCUCCUGGUGGAGCUGCUGGAUAUGGGAAUCAAGGUUAUGGAUAUGGUGGGUAUGGUGGAUAUGGUGGAAGUGAUAGUUCUUAUGGGAAUUCUGGUGCAUAUGGUACUGUUGGCGGACGUACUGGAAGUGCUCCAAACAAUAAUGCUAGUGCUUCUGGUGGUAGUGAACUAACAAGUAGUGGUGGCAGUGGCAACUAUAUGGGUGGGGGCUAUGGGGAUGCAAAUGGAAAUUCAGGUUAUGGAAAUGCAGCUUGGAGAUCUGAACAAACUCAUGCAUCUGGAAAUUAUGGGACUCCUCAAGGUAAUGGUGGGCAAGUUGGUUAUGGUGUUGGCUAUGGGGGUGCUCAGUCUCGACAAGCCCAACAGCAGUAAUUUUGGUAGAUGAAUCUCUUGCUGGAUCUUAAACUUCAACUUGAGGAUCCCUGGCUUUUAAAAGUCUUAAAUCAUGAGGUCACAAUGAAUUCUUCCAGCAGCAAUGGAGUGGCUCAAAGAUCAAUGUCAAUACACAAUGGGACUGGAGGAGAGGUGCACGAGUGUUGAAGUGGAGCCAAGUGUCCACUCAUUGCUAAGGAAUGAACUUUGGUCAGUCAGUAUUGUGUUUUUCUGGACCAAUGCGUCGCCAAAUUUGGAGAUUCCUGGCUUUUCAUGUGAUAAAAUCCCAUAACUUUCAAUCUGGUGUGUGGUGGCUGACAGAAAUUGUGAGGGUUAGCAGCGCAUUGUCUAUGACAUGUUAGAAGUUUAUCCUAAUUUUAGGUCUCCAGUUGAUUGAUACUUCUGAUUCUGGCACGUGUGUUUGAAUAUUCAUGCUCCAAGUAAUUCCUUGUCUGGAACAUCUUUUAAUGUGAUAAGCAAGAUUUUUAAGAAGUUCCUCGUUA